rnacentral:rRNA from 1 species
AGAGUUUGAUCAUGGCUCAGAACGAACGUUAGCGGCGCGCCUAACACAUGCAAGUCGAGCGAGAAAGGGAGCAAUCCCCGGUAAAGCGGCGCACGGGUGAGUAACACGUAGGUAAUCUGCCUCUGAGUGGGGGAUAACCUUCCGAAAGGAGGGCUAAUACCGCAUGAGACCACGCCUUCGAGAGGAGGAAAGGUCAAAGCCGGCCACUAUACAUAAGCUGGCGCUUGGAGAUGAGCCUGCGGCCCAUCAGCUAGUUAAUAAGGUAAUGGCCUACCAAAACGUAGACAAAUAGCUGGUCUGAGAGGAUGAUCAGCCACACUGGAACUGAGACACGGUCCAGACUCCUACGGGAGGCAGCAGUAGGGAAUCUUGCGCAAUGGGCGAAAGCCUAACGCAGCGACGCCGCGUGAGUGAUGAAGGCCUUCGGGUUGUAAAGCUCUGUGGAGGGGGAAGAAUAAGGGUAACCCAACACGUCGCCCGAUGACGGUACCCCUUUAGCAAGCACCGGCUAACUCUGUGCCAGCAGCCGCGGUAAGACAGAGGGUGCAAACGUUGUUCGGAAUUACUGGGCGUAAAGCGCGUGUAGGCGGCUUGGCAAGUCGGGUGUGAAAGCCCUGGGCUCAACCUAGGAAGUGCACUCGAAACUGCUUCGCUCGAGUAUCGGAGAGGAAAGCGGAAUUCUCGGUGUAGAGGUGAAAUUCGUAGAUAUCGAGAGGAACACCGGUGGCGAAGGCGGCUUUCUGGACGGUUACUGACGCUGAGACGCGAAAGCGUGGGGAGCAAACAGGAUUAGAUACCCCGGUAGU